GCGGGGAUAGCUCAGCAGGAAGAGCGCCUGUCUUACAAACAGGAGGUCGUCGGUUCGAACCCGACUCCCCGUACCA
rnacentral:tRNA from 1 species